UUCUCUAGUAGGACCUGAAAGUCUCCCUCAUCUACGGGUGCGGCGUGAGGUGUCCUGAGCAAAAUCAUCAAUCAACAGCGCCAUAGCGUGAGCAGCAGCCCGGCGACCAUGGAACGCCCAGGAUUUGUUGAUCUUCAAUGCUGUGAAGGUGAACUUGGUUCAGGAGGAAUGUGAAUGGUUAGACCUUGCUCAAAGAGUUUUUACAAAGAACUCCUGUUGGAGAAGUGCAACAGUCUGGUUUCUCUAGGUCUCAUACUCCUCAGCCAGUCCUGCUCAUCUGUGAAGCAGAGCAAAGAGCCCUAGAUGGUGAACAGAGGAAACUGUAGCAAAGGAUGCAGAACUCCAGUCUUUGUUCCUGAGACAGAAACUCAGAGAGGAGCAACAGGAAAAAUGGCUGCUUCUCUGAUAGAUGUGCCCCAGGUUAGU
rnacentral:lncRNA from 1 species